rnacentral:rRNA from 1 species
UACAGAGGAUGCAAGCGUUAUCCGGGAUGAUUGGGCGCAAGGCGUCUGUAGGUGGCUUUUUAAGUCCGCCGUCAAAUCCCAGGGCUCAACUCUGGACAGGCGGUGGAAACUACCAAGCUGGAGUACGGUAGGGGCAGAGGGAAUUUCCGGUGGAGCGGUGAAAUACGUAGAGAUUGGGAAGAACACCAGUGGCGAAGGCGGCUAUCUGGACGGUUUCUGACGCUAAGACGCGAAAGCGUGGGGAGCAAACAGG